UACGUAGGGUGCAAGCGUUGUCCGGAAUUAUUGGGCGUAAAGAGCUCGUAGGCGGUUUGUCGCGUCUGCCGUGAAAACUCGGGGCUUAACCCCGGGCCUGCAGUGGGUACGGGCAGACUAGAGUGCGGUAGGGGAGACUGGAAUUCCUGGUGUAGCGGUGAAAUGCGCAGAUAUCAGGAGGAACACCGGUGGCGAAGGCGGGUCUCUGGGCCGUAACUGACGCUGAGGAGCGAAAGCGUGGGGAGCGAACAGG
rnacentral:rRNA from 1 species